CGGCAGCACAGGAGAGCUUGCUCUCUGGGUGGCGAGUGGCGGACGGGUGAGGAAUACAUCGGAAUCUACUUUUUCGUGGGGGAUAACGUAGGGAAACUUACGCUAAUACCGCAUACGACCUACGGGUGAAAGCAGGGGAUCUUCGGACCUUGCGCGAUUGAAUGAGCCGAUGUCGGAUUAGCUAGUUGGCGGGGUAAAGGCCCACCAAGGCGACGAUCCGUAGCUGGUCUGAGAGGAUGAUCAGCCACACUGGAACUGAGACACGGUCCAGACUCCUACGGGAGGCAGCAGUGGGGAAUAUUGGACAAUGGGCGCAAGCCUGAUCCAGCCAUACCGCGUGGGUGAAGAAGGCCUUCGGGUUGUAAAGCCCUUUUGUUGGGAAAGAAAUCCAGCCGGCUAAUACCUGGUUGGGAUGACGGUACCCAAAGAAUAAGCACCGGCUAACUUCGUGCCAGCAGCCGCGGUAAUACGAAGGGUGCAAGCGUUACUCGGAAUUACUGGGCGUAAAGCGUGCGUAGGUGGUUAUUUAAGUCCGUUGUGAAAGCCCUGGGCUCAACCUGGGAACUGCAGUGGAUACUGGAUGACUAGAAUGUGGUAGAGGGUAGCGGAAUUCCUGGUGUAGCAGUGAAAUGCGUAGAGAUCAGGAGGAACAUCCAUGGCGAAGGCAGCUACCUGGACCAACAUUGACACUGAGGCACGAAAGCGUGGGGAGCAAACAGGAUUAGAUACCCUG
rnacentral:rRNA from 1 species